GUAAAGAGCAAAAAAAAAAAAAAAAAAAAAAUUUUUUAUAUUUAUUUUUUUUCAUUGAAUAAAAAGUUGCAUUGAUACUCAGCAGAAGAGCUGGUAAGAGUUCAGAAGGAAACAGCAUCCUGGGCAGAGAGGAGUUUGACUUGAAGACAUCUGCUCAGUGUGUGAGGAGACAUGGAGAAGUAGCAGACAGACAUGUGGGAACAGAUAUCAUGUUCUCAACAAUCAGAACAGGAGCGACGACACUCAGAUCAAGGAGCUGCUGGAGAAGAUUGAGGAGACAGUGGCACAAAACAACGACUGCCAUUUUGAAAUAGACAGAAAGAAUUCAGAAGUCAUAAAUCGAAUUAAGGGAUCUUCAAGAGGAAGCUUUGAAAAUGCAACAGAUAUGCUGGGUGAUGGAGAGAGCACUUCGGUCCACUCACAAAACAAAAGAAAAGAUCACAAUCCACACGUGUCUCUGAGCCUGUAAGAAAAUUUCACAGCAUUGGAGUUCCACCAUCCAUGAGUGUUGAAGCGAAAACAGUAACUGCAAUAUUUAACAGACGCCACACAACUGAUCCCACAAAAUCAGACAGCAGGAAAGUUGGACCAUCCUUGAGUUAUCUACUUAAGAGGUCUCAGGUAAACUCUGCACAACUACAAGCAGACAGCAGGUUUGGGUCAUCAUGCUCCAUAGUCUCCACUGGCAGCUCAGGAUAUGGAUCUUCAUGCUCCCUUCCUCAAUCUGUGGAACAGUCAGAACACAAAUGGACAAAUAGAGCCUGUCCCAGCAUCUCAAGCCGUAGACAGGGAAUACCCUGGAUGGAUGACCAGUUGUUUACAAAUCUUAAUCUAUAAAAUAUAAAAACUGUACACUGUAAAACUGUGAUUCUGUAAAGAUGCAAUACCAUUACAUUUAACUGAAUGUUCUUUAAGAAAAACUUUUGUUCUCUUUAAUCUGUUGCUGGUCAGUUUGUUGAUUGUAACAUUUGUGUAAUACAAAGUAUAUGAGGUAACUUAGGUUUUUUUUUUCUUCUCAUGAGGAUUUGUAUGAGAUCUAUUUUUCUUUGCUCUCAACAAAGCACAUAUUUUAACAAAUUAAUUCCAAUCAACUCAUUACAAUAAUUCCAAAACAUUUACCUAUUUUUUACUACAAUCUAUUUGCAGUUACUUAUUUUGACUGAUUUACUUGUUACUCUUAUUUUAAAAUAAUAUUUUUAUGAUCG
ensembl:lncRNA